rnacentral:sRNA from 26 species
AGAUCCGAAGCGAAAGCGUCGGGAUAAUAAUAACGAUGAAAUUCCUCUUUGACGGGCCAAUAGCGAUAUUGGCCAUUUUUUU